CUCAUUGCUCACAAAUCAAAAAUGAAGCUUAUACAUAUGAACCUCCUUUUGUUGCUAGUGGUUGCAAUAUGGACCACCUCCACCCCUACAGGGUAUGCACGCCAACUUCCCAAGGAUGAGCACCCAUCCACAUCGUAUGUUAACCCGCGCAUCAACUCUAAACAAGCAUCACAUAUUCUUUCUGAACCCGUUAAGUCCUCAUCACAUGUUUUUUCGGAACCCAUUAAACCCACGUCAUAUAUUCUUUCUGAACCCGUUAAGCCCCCGUCACAUGUUCUAUCGGAACCCGUUAAGCUCCCAUCAAAUCCACACUUUAACUCUAAGCCUACAUCACAUGUUUCCGAGAUUGUCAAUCCGCUCUUCAAAUAAUUAAGAGCAAUAUUGGGACCUUUGUUUUAAACAAAAGUGCAGCUCCAAGAUAUAUGUUAUGUAUUUUACCUUAACCCUAUUGUUUAUGUAGCUAUCGUUACUUAAUUAGACUUACCUAUGUUAUAUGGUAAUGAAUAAAAGCAACAGUACUUAUGUUUGGUAA
rnacentral:lncRNA from 1 species